rnacentral:rRNA from 1 species
AUACAUGCAGUCGAGCGGACAGAAGGGAGCUUGCUCCCGGAUGUUAGCGGCGGACGGGUGAGUAACACGUGGGUAACCUGCCUGUAAGACUGGGAUAACUCCGGGAAACCGGAGCUAAUACCGGAUAGUUCCUUGAACCGCAUGGUUCAAGGAUGAAAGACGGUUUCGGCUGUCACUUACAGAUGGACCCGCGGCGCAUUAGCUAGUUGGUGAGGUAACGGCUCACCAAGGCGACGAUGCGUAGCCGACCUGAGAGGGUGAUCGGCCACACUGGGACUGAGACACGGCCCAGACUCCUACGGGAGGCAGCAGUAGGGAAUCUUCCGCAAUGGACGAAAGUCUGACGGAGCAACGCCGCGUGAGUGAUGAAGGUUUUCGGAUCGUAAAGCUCUGUUGUUAGGGAAGAACAAGUGCAAGAGUAACUGCUUGCACCUUGACGGUACCUAACCAGAAAGCCACGGCUAACUACGUGCCAGCAGCCGCGGUAAUACGUAGGUGGCAAGCGUUGUCCGGAAUUAUUGGGCGUAAAGGGCUCGCAGGCGGUUUCUUAAGUCUGAUGUGAAAGCCCCCGGCUCAACCGGGGAGGGUCAUUGGAAACUGGGAAACUUGAGUGCAGAAGAGGAGAGUGGAAUUCCACGUGUAGCGGUGAAAUGCGUAGAGAUGUGGAGGAACACCAGUGGCGAAGGCGACUCUCUGGUCUGUAACUGACGCUGAGGAGCGAAAGCGUGGGGAGCGAACA